UCCUCGAUAGUAUAGUGGUGAGUAUCUCCGCCUGUCACGCGGAAGACCGGGGUUCAAUUCCCCGUCGAGGAG
rnacentral:tRNA from 1 species